rfam:Geobacter sp. OR-1 DNA, contig: OR1_contig000038.
ACACGAAAAUACUAAACCACCCGUGAGGGUGGGACGGAAAGCCUACAGGGUCUCAUCGAGACAGCCGGGAUGCCGAA